UUUGGGGUAGCUCAGUGGUAGAGCGGCCGGCUCUCAUCCGGUUGGACGCAGGUUCGAGCCCUGCCCCCGAAC
rnacentral:tRNA from 2 species